AGUGCAUCAAUGGAUUUCAACAAAACUACAUACAUUACUUUCAAAAUCAAAAGACGCCCCUACAAUAAUUAACCGCUCAAUGUACUUUUUAUUGUUAUUUGUUUAUGCAAUGAGCUCAACAACACCGCCGGCUUGCUUAAUCUUUUCCUCAGCUCUGCGAGAAACGUAGCGAGUUUGAACAAUGACAGGGGUCUCAGGAAGACGUCCCUUACCCAAAACUUUGCCAUAACCGGAUUGAAGGACAUUGAUGACGGGAGCAACCUCAGUGUUCUUGCCCAAAUACUUGUCACGAGCCUCGUUGGGGAGUAAAGUCCAGAGACGGUCCAAGUUGACAGUGGGACGCCAUAAGGGAUUCUUCAUGAGGUGGAAACGGCGCAUACCGACCUUACCAAAGUAACCAGGAUGGUACUUAUCGAAGUGACUACGGAGGUGUUGUAAACCACCAGCCUUACCACGACCACCGGGAUGCUUCCUGUGCUUGCCAAUACGACCGUGACCAGCUG